rnacentral:rRNA from 1 species
CUGCACUUCGGGAUAAGCCUGGGAAACUGGGUCUAAUACCGGAUAGGACCACGGGAUGCAUGUCUUGUGGUGGAAAGCGCUUUAGCGGUGUGGGAUGAGCCCGCGGCCUAUCAGCUUGUUGGUGGGGUGACGGCCUACCAAGGCGACGACGGGUAGCCGGCCUGAGAGGGUGUCCGGCCACACUGGGACUGAGAUACGGCCCAGACUCCUACGGGAGGCAGCAGUGGGGAAUAUUGCACAAUGGGCGCAAGCCUGAUGCAGCGACGCCGCGUGGGGGAUGACGGCCUUCGGGUUGUAAACCUCUUUCACCAUCGACGAAGGUCCGGGUUCUCUCGGAUUGACGGUAGGUGGAGAAGAAGCACCGGCCAACUACGUGCCAGCAGCCGCGGUAAUACGUAGGGUGCGAGCGUUGUCCGGAAUUACUGGGCGUAAAGAGCUCGUAGGUGGUUUGUCGCGUUGUUCGUGAAAUCUCACGGCUUAACUGUGAGCGUGCGGGCGAUACGGGCAGACUAGAGUACUGCAGGGGAGACUGGAAUUCCUGGUGUAGCGGUGGAAUGCGCAGAUAUCAGGAGGAACACCGGUGGCGAAGGCGGGUCUCUGGGCAGUAACUGACGCUGAGGAGCGAAAGCGUGGGGAGCGAACAGGAUUAGAUACCCUGGUAGUCCMCGCCGUAA